GACGAACGCUGGCGGCGUGCUUAACACAUGCAAGUCGAACGGAAAGGCCCUGCUUUUGUGGGGUGCUCGAGUGGCGAACGGGUGAGUAACACGUGAGUAACCUGCCCUUGACUUUGGGAUAACUUCAGGAAACUGGGGCUAAUACCGGAUAGGAGCUCCUGCUGCAUGGGGGGGGUUGGAAAGUUUCGGCGGUUGGGGAUGGACUCGCGGCUUAUCAGCUUGUUGGUGGGGUAGUGGCUUACCAAGGCUUUGACGGGUAGCCGGCCUGAGAGGGUGACCGGCCACAUUGGGACUGUGAUACGGCCCAGACUCCUACGGGAGGCAGCAGUGGGGAAUAUUGCACAAUGGGCGGAAGCCUGAUGCAGCAACGCCGCGUGCGGGAUGACGGCCUUCGGGUUGGAAACCGCUUUCGCCUGUGACGAAGCGUGAGUGACGGUAAUGGGUAAAGAAGCACCGGCUAACUACGUG
rnacentral:rRNA from 1 species